GAGAAUGCCGGUGUGAGUAGCGAAAGACGGGUGAGAAUCCCGUCCACCGAUUGACUAAGGUUUCCAGAGGAAGGCUCGUCCGCUCUGGGUUAGUCGGGUCCUAAGCUGAGGCCGACAGGCGUAGGCGAUGGAUAACAGGUUGAUAUUCCUGUACCACCUAUAAUCGUUUUAAUCGAUGGGGGGACGCAGUAGGAUAGGCGAAGCGUGCGAUUGGAUUGCACGUCUAAGCAGUAAGGCUGAGUAUUAGGCAAAUCCGGUACUCGUUAAGGCUGAGCUGUGAUGGGGAGAAGACAUUGUGUCUUCGAGUCGUUGAUUUCACACUGCCGAGAAAAGCCUCUAGAUAGAAAAUAGGUGCCCGUACCGCAAACCGACACAGGUAGUCAAGAUGAGAAUUCUAAGGUGAGCGAGCGAACUCUCGUUAAGGAACUCGGCAAAAUGACCCCGUAACUUCGGGAGAAGGGGUGCUCUUUAGGGUUAACGCCCAGAAGAGCCGCAGUGAAUAGGCCCAAGCGACUGUUUAUCAAAAACACAGGUCUCUGCUAAACCGUAAGGUGAUGUAUAGGGGCUGACGCCUGCCCGGUGCUGG
rnacentral:rRNA from 1 species